CACCUCAGAAACUAAGAACAGUGUUUACCUAAUGAGGUGUGGGGAUGGGAACUCCUCAGAAAUGGGAAAGGAUGGCGGAAGAAACGUUUUAUCAUGGAGCUGAUUAUAUCUUCUGGACUUGGAUCUAUAGGAAUGUAUUGGCUAUUCAAAUAAUUAAAAAUUAGUAAAGCAAUACAUGGACUGUUUAACAAGACCCGAUCUUCUGUUUUCUUACACUGUUCUUUCUAUUUGCAAUUACAAUGUUGUGAAACAAUGGCGUGGCAGUUUCUGUGCUGCACCAUGGUGGAAAUGAGACUACUCUAGGUCACAGCCUUAGCUCUGUUAAAAAGGCGGUGACUUUCCUACAACUGGGAGGAGAUGCUGGCUGGUGGGAUGUAGCAGCCUUGAGUCAGGGCAGUGACAGUAGAAAGUGAAGAAAAUGGGGAAAUGUCUCUGUUUAAUGGCUGUGAAUUCUAGAGAGACAUGAGGAAACCAAUAAAGUUUUGUCUCAUGCUAUACACAGAAGAUUCUAGGACUUGUAUCAUAAAUGUUGAACCCACUCUCUCAACUGACCUCCACAAGGCACUGUGAACACUCCUACUCUUUCUUGAAUGCUUUUAAACAAGUCUGUGUUAAUGGGCCAAGUCUGGCCUGCCAUCUAUUUUUAUAAAUAAGCUUGUAUUGUAACUCAAUCAAGUUCAUUUGUUUACAUGUUGUCUAUGACCACUUUUGCACUAAAGUGGAAGAAUUGAGUAAUUGCAAUAGAGACUAUAUGGCUCACAAAACCUAAAAUAUUAAUAUCUGUCUCUUAACAAAUAAAAAUUUGCCCAUCUCUGCUCUGAAAGAA
rnacentral:lncRNA from 10 species